UCAUAGUUUUACAUACCAUGCAAUUGUC
rnacentral:sRNA from 1 species